rnacentral:rRNA from 1 species
CGUCGUGAGACAGUUCGGUCCCUAUCCGUCGUGGGCGUUGGAAAUUUGAAAGGAGCUGUCCUUAGUACGAGAGGACCGGGAUGGACACACCGCUGGUGUACCAGUUGUUCCGCCAGGAGCAUCGCUGGGUAGCUACGUGUGGUCGGGAUAAGUGCUGAAAGCAUCUAAGCAUGAAGCCCCCCUUGAGAUGAGAUUUCCCUUUGCUUUAAGCAAAUAAGAUCCCUCAGAGACGAUGAGGUUGAUAGGUCCGAGGUGGAAGCGUGGUGACACGUGGAGCUGACGGAUACUAAUGGAUCGAUGACUUAUCUA